rnacentral:misc_RNA from 1 species
GAUGAAGAACGUAGCGAAAUGCGAUAAGUAAUGUGAAUUGCAGAAUUCAGUGAAUCAUCGAAUCUUUGAACGCAUCUUGCGCUCCUUGGUAUUCUGAGGAGCAUGCCUGUUUGAGUGUCAUUAAAUUCUCAACUACACUGACUUUGAAUUGGUGUGGCUUGGAUUUGGGGGGAAAAUUGUUGUGGGCUUUUUGUAUAGUCUGCUCCCCUGAAAUUGAUUAGCGGUACCUUUGUGGAACUGUCUACAGGUGUGAUAAUUAUCUACAUCUUAGACAUCUGCUGGAAUGCUGCUUUCGAAACCUUACUUGUAUUGACAAUCUUGACCUCAAAUCAGGUAGGACUACCCGCUGAACUUAAGCAUAUCAAUAAGCGGAGGA